CAGCACUAGAUCUUAAGUGUCAGCAAGACAGGACACCAUUGGAAACUUCCAGUUCAUAUUUUUCACAAUGGGAAACUUGGCAUCCGCCAACUACGUUGCUGAUACUCUCAAGAAAAAGUCCUGGGGACAGCAGAAGGAGGACACAGUCAAGCUGGAGGACCUUCUGACUAAAUAUAAAGAGGAGCUCUGGAGCAUCAACAGGAAACAAAGUUCAUCCAUGAAGAAAUUGCACUUCAAUCGCAGCAUGCCUUACAUGGACCUGGCUGAUCAAAAGAUGGGAGAUUUCCACAUGUAUGCAAACAAUAUGUUAAAUCCUUCUUUUACUGGUGAUCAGAACUCAUGAAUGACUCUCACCGGACAGUGUGAUCCCUGCAUUGAUUCAGCAAGAAAAUGGCGACAGAUGGGAUUCUUCAUUUUGUCACUUUGAUGCUGUUGCCUGAGUUGUCUGCUACAAAAAAGCAUCUGCUUGGGCCCUCCUUUUUUUCCCUUGUAAGUGAGAACAAAAAAAAUAGAACCACAUUCCAAAUGGAGAGUGAAUCCUCUUCCUUUUUUAUUAACUUGAGGCACUAACCAUGAAGAAAUAAGAUGAAAUAACUACAUUUAUGAAUACAAGUGUUUGUUUCCA